rnacentral:rRNA from 1 species
AUGUCGCCAUUUCUUUUCUUACUCUGUGCCGAAGGAUUUACGUCUCUGCUCAAAUUCUAUGGGGGCAUUCAUAUUGACAGGGGCAUCCGUGUAUCCUUUCGAGCACCGUGGUCAAUCGUGACAAAAGUGCCAUCUUUUUCUCGCCCAAUACACCGCAUGCAAGACGGCAAGCAGUCAAACUGGUUCUUGGUGUUCAUAUGGAGGCAUUUAGUGACAGAUAUUUGGGCUUACCCACAGCGGUCGGGAGAAUCACUAGUGAGACUUUUGACCAUAUUGGGGACAGAUCCAGGAGCAAAAUGA